GGCUGAAAUUCGCCUUCAUGAAGCUGGAAUUGCUAGUAAUGGCAGGUCAGCAUACUGCCGUGAAUACGUUCCCGGGCCUUGUACACACCGCCCGUCACACCAUGAGAGUUGGGAAUACCCGAAGCCUGUGAGCUAACUUUUAGAGGCAGCAGUCGAAGGUAGAAUCAAUGAUUGGGGUGAAGUCGUAACAAGGUAGC
rnacentral:rRNA from 1 species